CUCGGAGAUGUGUAUAAGAGACAGUACUUAUACUCGGGAGUCAGACUGCGAGUGAUAAGAUCCGUAGUCGAAAGGGAAACAGCCCAGACCACCAGUUAAGGUCCCCAAAUAUGUUAAGUGGAAAAGGAUGUGGGGUUGCUUAGACAACCAGGAUGCUGUCUCUUAUACACAUCUGACGCUGCCGACGAUCUUACGCGUGUUGGCAUGCGUGGUCCCCGUUUACUUGAUAUAAAAAACGCUUAUAAAGCCAAGAAAUACUUCAGUUAAAACCCAUAUCUCCAACCUGUGCAUACAUUCACUACAUCUUCCCUAUCCUUUCGACUAA
rnacentral:rRNA from 1 species